ACCGGGGCACGAACCCGUGUCCCCUGCAUCGGCAGGCGGACUCAACCACUGCGCCACCAGGGAAGCCUCCACAAUGAUAUUUUUAAAAGAAAGCCUCUAUUUGUUUAAUCCACUCAUAGUCAGGUGUUCUGAUUUUGUAAUCAAAAGUAUUCUUGUGGAUAAAGGCAGGGCUUGCAGGUGAGACAUAGCCGGACCUUGGAGAGGGCAGUACAGGCUCUUGCUCUGAUAUUAAACCUCCAGUAUGCAAGUCUGGCUCUAACACGUACUGAACUUGGACAAAUCACUUAACUUCUAAGCCUCAGUUUCCUUAUCUUUAAGAUGAGGUUAAUAGGAAUUACCGUCUCAUAGAACUGUGAGGAUUACGUCAAAUAAAGGAUGUACGAUGCCUAGGACGGGAAAAGAAUCGGCAGUCUUCUGUGACCUGAGUUGGAGGAGAAAUUUUCAGGCGGUAAGCCGAAGAAUUUCUAAAUUUCUUGCUUUUGGUGAGCCUCCUUCCAAUUUUACUGACGCAAAAAUUUGAGUAACAAGAGGCAUGCCAGCUGUUCGGUGAUGGUGCAGAGUUCUGCUUCUUCCAGCAGAGGCCCCUUGUGCACAGGAAAUGAGGCUGGUGGUGGCUGGAGGGGACCCUGGGCCAGGGCACUGGUUUCCCAGAAGCUCCCCCAGAGUAAAGCAGGGAGGGGAGUCUAAGGAAGAGCUUGUGGGGACCGCCCCCCACCCUCCACCCCCGUCCCCUGUCCAGGCUUCAGAGAGCUGGAUGCCAGUGUCCUGGAAUUCUGGAGUCUUUCUUGAAAGAAAGAGACGGGGAGAGAGAAGGAGAGAAAGAAAGAGGGAUGGAUAGAGGGAGAAAGCGGGGAGGAGGGAGAGAGGGAGGAAGGAAGGCAGCGGCUUUGUCUAAGCUCCAGGGCUCAGAGGCAGGGCACCCGUGGGGCUGAUGAUCCCAGGGGUCAGACCUGCAGAGAGACUCUUUCUGCUGUCUGCCUUCCAGUUUAUUUCGUUUCCCUUCAUUGUUGCUACCUGGGCAAAAGGGCAUCUAAAUGAUUUUUAAUCCCAAUUUAACUGCUACGGAGCUAUGAAAACUUGGCACAAAGCCUCCAGCAUAGCUGAUUGAUAGAGGAGAAGUCAGAUGAUCUCUUAAAAGCCACGGUGACGAGCGAGAAGGACUGAAACCGUGAGUUACUGAAACCGUGAGUUACAGCAUGGUUUGCAGAAAGGCCCAAACUUCUGGUGAUGGGGGGAGCGAUGGAGGGUCUUUCCUGGUCCAGCAUGGCCUCUUCUGUCUAAGGCGGUGGCCCUGUGGGUGACUCGCUGGCCAUACAUUCUUUCUUGAAGCUUUAAACCUGGAGUCUCUUUGCCUUCCAGAACUAAAACGAACGGUCUCUGGUGCAUUUGCUGUGUGCAUAUGUUGAUCAUCAUUCAAGACGUGCUUUUGGUGAGGGAGGAAAGCAGUCGGGGCCAGAUGGUGACUCUGACCUUCCCAGAUCAACACUGGGAAGGAGAAGACGGCUAAGGGCUGCUUUGGCAUCAGGCUGACUUGCCCAGUCGUCCAUGAGCACAUAAAUACUUCCUGAGCAUGUAUGGCCCCGUCUGUGGGAGAGGUAAAGUCACCCCUGGUGCUGGGGCCCAGGCGGCGAUGGAAGGGGUGCAGGGGGUGGUACUUAGGAAGGAGACGGGAAUGUGUCUUUUGGGCGGCCCUGCUCGGGUGGUGGUACCUGCCUGUGGAGCUGCGGGGGGUCUUCACAGGGAUGUGACUGCUGAUCCUUUGGGCUCUCUGGGCCAGGCUAUGAGACAGGAUUCCGCGUUAACACGGUGCCCCUUGGGGAGCAUUUCGGAUGCCCUGGCUUGAAUUUUGGUGGGAUGGAAGGGACACAAGGAAAUGGGCAGAACCAGGCAGGGUGUGGAGAUGAAGCUUCUGAGGGCUCCAGAGCCAAAGAAGGAGAGU